UAGGGAAUCUUCCACAAUGGACGCAAGUCUGAUGGAGCGACGCCGCGUGAGUGAAGAAGGUCUUCGGAUCGUAAAGCUCUGUUGUUGGUGAAGAAGGAUAGAGGCAGUAACUGGUCUUUAUUUGACGGUAAUCAACCAGAAAGUCACGGCUAACUACGUGCCAGCAGCCGCGGUAAUACGUAGGUGGCAAGCGUUGUCCGGAUUUAUUGGGCGUAAAGCGAGCGCAGGCGGAAUGAUAAGUCUGAUGUGAAAGCCCACGGCUCGACCGUGGAACUGCAUCGGAAACUGUCAUUCUUGAGUGCAGAAGAGGAGAGUGGAACUCCAUGUGUAGCGGUGGAAUGCGUAGAUAUAUGGAAGAACACCAGUGGCGAAGGCGGCUCUCUGGUCUGCAACUGACGCUGAGGCUCGAAAGCAUGGGUAGCGAACAGGAUUAGAUACCCUGGUAGUCCAUGCCGUAAACGAUGAGCGCUAGGUGUUGGGGACUUUCCGGUCCUCAGUGCCGCAGCAAACGCAUUAAGCGCUCCGCCUGGGGAGUACGACCGCAAGGUUGAAAC
rnacentral:rRNA from 1 species